rnacentral:tmRNA from 1 species
GGGGACGACGGGUUUCGACAGGGAACGCUGUUGCAGGACUGCAGGCCGAGGUGCCAUCACCCUCGCUAAUCAGGUGGCAAAAAAGUAGCUGGCGAAAAAGAGCUAGCACUGGCCGCGUAAGCGGCCACGUCCAACCUCACCUCACCCCGAUGGGUGGGGCUUGGGCGACGAAAAGUCGGGGUGCUGCGGCCCAGACGUCGCUAAGGGUCGCCUAAGACUAGAGACUGUGCGAGGUUGCCAUCCUGCCGACGGAGGGCAACUCCGCAAGAUCAAGUAGUCGGAUAAGCUUGUAGGAUGUCCUGGGCAAACUUCCUUUGGACGGGGAGUUCGACUCUCCCCCGUCUCCACCA